AAAAUAUUAAAAACUUUUUGACCUCAGAUUUCGAACAGUUUGAAAGCCCAGUUCAGGACAAAGUUGGUCCAUUAAUCACUUUACACACUUUGGUAUACAAUUUAACCACGAAUCGUCUUACAAACGAACAUCGCUUGCAAAUUAUUGAAUUUUAUUAUUAAAUUGCGUGCUCUGCUAAGAAAGCUCAUCGCGCUUCUUCCAUUUUAUGGUAAGCUCAUUUUUGGAUCAAUGGGUACGUAAAUAAGCAGAAUAGUCGAUUUUGAAGUGAAGAUCAGCCAGAAACAUUGCAAGAGCUACCAAUACAUCUAGAAAAAGCCACAGUUUGGUACGAUUUAUGGGCUGGUGGCAUCAUUGGACCGUACUUCUUCAAAGAUAAUGUGAAUCGUAACGUAACUGUGAAUGGUUAUUCAGUUUGCUGAAGACAACAACUUGCCCCCGAAAGCUCUUUUGCUUUUGGACAACUGUACCGCCCAUGCACAAAUAGAAAAACUGCUAAAAAUAAGUUGCCCCUAAAAUUAAUUUGUGAAGGUGAAGACAUUGCUAAGCAGUUAAAAACCCAUUCAAUUCGAGAUGCAAUAAUGUCGCUGCAUCAAGCUUGGAUUGAGGUGUCACAAACAGUGGUCCAAAUUAUUCAAUUGUGAUUGAAGUGAUUACGACAGCGAGGAUGAUUUGCCACUAAGACAAUUAUAUCCACAAAAUCAGAAUUACAAUGAAGUUCUUGAAAUUAACCAAAACUUAUUGAAUCAAAUUAACGAAAAGAAAUAAGUUUGGUGUAGAUGAAAUCGAAACGUGGAAUGAAGACGUUUUUCCUGACAGAUCUGUUAGUGAUGAAGAUGCUUCACAAAGUAGUGACACUAGUCUUAUCUUAGAAACGCCAGUGGUUUCCAAUGCAAAAGCAUUAGAAAGCGCAAAUACUUUCAUUAAA